GUCAAAGGAGGAUGGCCUGCCCUUGCUGAGUCUGGUUCCUCCCAAGUAUUUUUCCCACAUGAAAGAAAUGACCAUGUCAUCAGCAAAGUGACCCUACUGUGAGGUAGAAGGAUACCUCCACCAAGUGUCCCCAGUACUGCAAUAUUUCACUGUUUUACUGCAGGAGGGUGACCGCAAUACUCGUGUUGUGGUGUUUGACAUACAGCGCCACAAUGUCUUUGAGUGUGUGGAGAAAGACAGGAGUCCUGUGAAACUAAGUGGAGUCACAUUAAGGCCAUCAUUUCAAAAUCAGGGAAGAGAUGACAUAAUUGUCAACAGCUACAGCAAGAUUUCCAUUAUUUGACAGUUAUCAUUUGCCUUUGAUGAUGGUCUAAGAGCCAUCAGUGAAGCAAGAGCACUAAUGGAAAUUGCCAGUGACGUCAGGGAAUAUUAGAGGGUUACCAUCCAGGUCAAAAUACUCUGCCUCUUGUUUGAGAAGCAGAAUCUGACUCGCAGUCACAAGUCAUGAGGAAAACAUACCAAAUUGCUGACAAGACUUUCAGCAUGGCUUUAAGUGUGUGGGGUGAUAGCCAUGUUGACAUUGGAAAGUGGUAUGAGUUGCGGAACGUUUCUGUCCGGCAGUUUGAUAUGAAGCCAUGCCUUUCUACCACUCUGCAGACUGAGAUUAAGGUUCUGGAGGAUUUGGGUAAUUGCUUUCAGACUGUUGAAGAUGAAGUUGUCACCAUGGAGGGAGAAAUUGUUGAUACAGAAAUCAAAGAGAGUCACUUGUGUCCAAAAUUCCACAAAAUGGAUUUAGUAAACACCUCAACCUUAAUGAAUCGCUGUAUUAAAUGUGAUGCUUUCUGUAAAACUACAAAAAUCAAGUCUAUUUUGAAUGGCCAUAUAACAAUUGAGGUCAACUCAAUUCACCAGAAAAUUAUGAUAGAUGAUGGCCAUCUC
ensembl:lncRNA